rnacentral:rRNA from 1 species
AUUGAACGCUGGCGGCAGGCUUAACACAUGCAAGUCGAGCGAGCGGCGGACGGGUGAGUAAUGUCUGGGAAACUGCCUUAUGGAGGGGGAUAACUACUGGAAACGGUAGCUAAUACCGCAUACCAUCGGAUGUGCCCAGAUGGGAUUAGCUAGUGGGUGGGGUAAAGGCUCACCUAGGCGACGAUCCCUAGCUGGUCUGAGAGGAUGACCAGCCACACUGGAACUGAGACACGGGCCAGACUCCUACGGGAGGCAGCAGUGGGGAAUAUUGCACAAUGGGCGCAAGCCUGAUACAGCCAUGCCGCGUGUAUGAAGAAGGCCUUCGGGUUGUAAAGUACUGUCGGCGGGGAGGCGUUACCCGCAGAAGAAGCACCGGCUAACUCCGUGCCAGCAGCCGCGGUAAUUC